GAUGGAGGGGGAUAACUACUGGAAACGGUAGCUAAUACCGCAUAACGUCCCUAGACCAAAGAGGGGGACCUUCGGGCCUCUUGCCAUCGGAUGUGCCCAGAUGGGAUUAGCUAGUAGGUGGGGUAACGGCUCACCUAGGCGACAAUCCCUAUCUGGUCUGAGAGGAUGACCUCCCACACUGGAACUGAGACACGGUCCACACUCCUACGGGAGGCAGCAGUGGGGAAUAUUGCACAAUGGGCGCAAGCCUGAUGCACCCAUGCCGCGUGUAUGAAAAAGGCCUUCGGGUUGUAAAGUACUUUCAGCGGGGAGGAAGGGAGUAGGGUUAAUACCUUUGCUCAUUGACGUUACCCGCAGAAGAAGCACCGGCUAACUCCGUGCCAGCAGCCGCGGUAAUACGGAGGGUGCAAGCGUUAAUCGGAAUUACUGGGCGUAAAGCGCACGCAGGCGGUUUGUUAAGUCAGAUGUGAAAUCCCCGGGCUCAACCUGGGAACUGCAUCUGAUACUGUCACGCUUGAGUCUCGUAGAGGGGGGUAGAAUUCCACGUGUAGCGGUGAAAUGCGUAUAGAUCUGGAGGAAUACCGGUGGCGAAAGCGCCCCCCUGUACAAAGACUGACGCUCUCGUGCGAAAGCGUGGGGAGCAAACACGAUUAUAUACCCUGGUAGUCCACGCCGUAUACGAUGUCUACUUGUAGGUUGUGCCCCUCGAGGCGUGUCUUCCGGAGCUCACGCGUUAAGUCUACCCGCCUGGGGGAGUACAGCCGCACGGUUAAAACUCUCAUGAGUAUGACGCGGGGCCCGCACAAGCGGUGGAGCAUGUGUUUUAUUUCUAUG
rnacentral:rRNA from 1 species